UUCACGGCGAUAACAAAGUAGAAACAAGGAUGUUAUAGAUUUAAAAUUCUCCCCGCAUAAGGACAACUUAAAGCGUGAUAAUUGUGCUGCACAGAGAAGGAAUAUACAGGGACAGUAUUAAACAAGCGGCUGGAAGCCGGUAUGUACUCCCCAGUUACAUCGCUCGGCUUGACGGAAAAGACCGAGCGAUGUUCCGAUUGCCUCUUUGUAACACAUCAAGCUAUACAAGUACACAGGACGUUAAAGUAACGAUAUGAGAAGUCCCGUCUACAGUCAACACUCCCUCCAUUCCUGGCACGGCUGUCACAUCAACUUACUGGCGAACUGAGCGGCAUACAUCAAUUUAACUCUAAUUUGUCUGUUUUGGACCACUGCACCACUCAACGUCACAGGUUGAAGAUCAUGUAAAUAUCGUGACACUUGAUUUAUUUCCCUUUGACCUCUGCACCUUUCGGAGUCAUUGACAUUUAAGACUAUGUUUACAUUGAACCCUCUAUUCUUUGACCAUGACUUCUGCAUCUCCCAGGGUCAAGGUCACAUAAAGUCGUGAUUUUGCAUUGAAAUGUUGUUGAUUGUGUUGCUAUAGGCCUACCCGUUGUUUAGGAGGAUUGUAUUAUCAGCAGUGCCCAUUA